CAGUGCACAACUGCACACCUAGGAGGUGUGUGAUGGGCACAAAUUAAGAAGAUUGUGUUAAGGGGGAGUCAGCAGAAGAAAGCUAGGGGGAUCAGAAACAGCAUGCUGAUGGCCAGUUUUCUUGUGGGUGGAUAAUAGAGAGUAUGGAGCAAAUCCUACCCUUUUGCACAGAAGCAUGGGAAGGCCGUGUCCACAGAACACCUGGGACUUCAAUGGACUUUGCAUCGGGCCCUUGGUACUGUUCUGGACAGGAUGUGGGAAGCACACCCACUACCAACUGGAGCCCAGCUCAGUGGAGAGUCUAUAUCUGUCACUACACUGGAAGGAUAUGUGUGCAGGACAGAUGAAUUCUCCACUCCAGAGAAGCAGCAGCCAUUAUCCAUGUGGCAAUUGGAUACCGAUGGCAUGGGUCUUACACAGAGGAGAGGAAUGUGGGGGAAUAAGGGCAACAGAUUUCCAUUUAGAAAACUUACCCUACAAUUUGACUGAAAUAUCUUCUGUAGCCUUCUACUGUUUCAUGCUUUAAGUAAAAAAACAAAAAUGUUGAGGAAUAA